AUGAAUUCGGUGACGAAUUUGCUGUGCUUCGUUCUAGGGGCAGCGGCCACGGCAGCCUUUGUCGCGCUGCUGCUACCUUCUGUUCCGUGCCCGUACCCCAUCGCAGAUGUCGGCAUCAGGAAGCUCAACACGGUCGUGGUCGCAAGCGACGACGACGGGCUCGCGGAGGUGCUCCGCAGCGCGUCCAUGGAGGACAAGACCGUCAUCCUGGCCUUCGUCAAUGAGGCGCAUGCGAUGCCUGGCUCGCUCCUCCAGAUGUUGCUGGACAGCCUCCGCACCGGCGUGAGGACGGAGCCAAUGCUCAAGCACGUGGUGGUGGUGGCCACUGACCCCAAGGGGCUCGAGCGGUGCCGGCGCAUGCACCCGCUCUGCCACCUGCUCUCUGGAGCGAACGGCACCGCUCCCAACGGGUCGGAGCUCAUGUUCUAUGACAAGGACUACGUGGACAUGAUGUGGGCGCGCAACAGGUUCCAGGCGCAGGUGCUGGCGCUGGGCUAUGCCUUCCUCUUCACUGACCUAGACAUCUUGUGGUUCCGGAACCCGUUGUUGCGCAUUCCGGUCGGCGCCGACAUCACCCUGGGCUGCGACAACCAUUUCGGCGCCAACCCGUACGACCUGGACAAGGCCGCCAAUGGCGGGUUCGUGUACGCGAGGCCGACCACGGCAUCCCUGGCCUUCUUCAGGGACUGGUACGAGGCGAGGACGCGGUGGCCCGGGGAGAACGACCAGGUGGUGUUCAGAGAGAUGAAGCACGAGCUGGCCGCGAGGCACGGGGCGACUGUGCACCUGGUGGACACCACCUACUUCCAUAGCGCGUGCGAGGCGUGGAAGAAGUUCAACUUCCAUGAAAUAUGCACCUUCCACGCAGCCUGCAUCCACGGCCUGCAGGACAAGAUCGACAGGCUCAACGCCGUGCUCGACGAGUGGAGGCAGUUCAAGGCGCAACAACUGCUGCUCGGCGCCAACAGCACCGCGCUCACCUACUGA
rnacentral:rRNA from 1 species